rnacentral:lncRNA from 1 species
CUCCAACUGAGCAGUGGCAGCCACUGGAGAGAGCUGAACAGUUGUACUUUUUUGUACUUUUGCAGCAGUCCUAAAUGACAACAUCAUGUCACCAAAGCCUCCCUGUUCCUUAAACCAGCACUUGACAGCUAUGGACAAUUCAUCAAAUGCAAAGACUGGUAACUUAUGCUUAAUCUUGGUGGAGCCCAUGUAUUCAGGGGAGAGCCCAACACUGUGCAAUGUCCUCUGAUGGCCUCCAUCAGACAGACAAGAACAUUGAGUGAACCUGGCCAUCUUGCUGAGUUGUCCAACUCCAGAGCCGUGUGCUGACUCUGCCUAUGACCCAGCUGCUCUCCAGUGGAUGUCACAAGCACCACACAGAGUUGUUGGAACUCAGAGCUCUGGCCAUCCUCACUGAAAGACCACAGGCUCUCGUGGAGCAGGAUAUGUAUGAACUGUACUUCUCCCACCUCCCACUUAAGCAAUACAAACAGACUACUAGUAUGAGGAAAUUUCCACCCCGCUGCCCUGCUCAGCUGAGGAAAACAGACAGAAUGCACAGAUUCCCACCUGGGAGUUCCCACAGAGAACUGGAAGGCCUGCAUUCGACUCUUGGCUUGCUCUUUGCUUGUUAGAGCAAAGUCGCUUAACCUCUUUGAGUGUCAGCUUUCUCAUCUGUCAAGAUGAGGAUGAAAUCCGCUUCCUGGAGUGGCUGUGAAAACAAAGGUGAUGCACUGUGUCAUGGUAGAGAAGGCACGCCGCAGGAGUGAGACAAGUGGGAAUCGGCUAUGGAAGCUCAAAGCCCACCUGCAAAGUUGUGUUCCUCCAGCAAGGCUCCACCUCCCAAGGACUCCACAGCCUUCCCACACAGCGCCAGCAGCCGGGGAACAAGUGUUUAAAGAUAUGAGCCAAUGGGGAAGACUUCUCAUUCAAACCACAAUGAAAGUUAUAGGCCCUUAAAGGAGCCUCACUGAACAAAGGUGGCCGGUACAGGAGGCCUAUGAGAUUUUGUAGGCUACUCGAACUUUCUGUAAACUCGCUUCUUCCAGGUCUGGGGAGAAGAGAGCAAGGAGAGACCCCUUUGUCCUGCUGCCCGAAGCUAUGCUUUCGCAUCAUGAUGGACCAUGUCCCAGCAAAUCAGCAUCUCCUCGCUUAAGUUGCUUUUAUCAGAUAUUUUGUUACUACAAGGAAAAGUAACUAAUAAAAAACAAAACUCCCC